UCUUGAAGUCAGUGAGACCAAUAACCCACCAAUUCCGGACAUAAUUGUGUAGAAAUGAGAGAGAUGUAAAUAGCUACCAAAGGAGAAUUGACAAGUCUGAGCAGAAGAAGCACAGAUAUCAAAAGGCAAAGGAGGAGGAAGACUUGGAAAAACAAAAGGUAGCGACUAAGUUGUCUGAGUCUGAUCUGACAUGAACAAAACAAACCAAGCUGUAAUCCCAAGCCAUCUCUAAGUAUGUUCAUUCUGGAGUCCAGACAUUCUGAAAACCAAAUGGAAGAAAAGGAGCCAAGGUGACUAAGAAGGAUCAGCCAGAAAGGAAUGAGGAAAAGCAGGAGUGCCCAGAACCUCAAAAGCUGAGAGAAAGUGAACUUCAAAGAACAGAAGUGCAUCUGGGUAGAUAUCCUAAAGACUUGAAAUCAGUAUGUGGAAGAGGCAUCUGCAUUGCUAUGUUCAUUGCAGCAUUAUUCACAAUAACCCAGAUGUUGAAUCAACCUAAGUGUCUAUCCAUAGAUGAAUGAAUGAAGGAAAUAUGAUCUGUAUACAUAAUGAAAUACUAUUCAGCCAUAAAAAAGAGUGAAAUCCUGUCAGUUGCAUCAUGGAACUGAAGGACAUAAUGGAAUACUAUUUAGCCUGAAAACAGAAUUCAUACUCCAAGCCCCACAAUACGCAAUAUACCUUUGUAACAAGCCUGUACAUGUACCCCUGAUUCUAAAAUAAAACCUGAAUAAGAAGAAGAAAAUCCUGUCAUUUUUUGACAACAUGACUAAAUGGCUGAACCUGGAGGACAUUUUGAUAAGUGAAAUAAGCGAAUCACAGAAAGACAAAAGCCAUGUUUUCACUUAUACGUGGAAUUUGAAACAAACUCAUAAUAGCAG
rnacentral:lncRNA from 10 species